rnacentral:snRNA from 1 species
GUGCUCGCUUUGGCAGCUCAGACUCUAAAACUGAAAUGCUACAGAGGAGAUCAGCACGGGCCCUGUGCGAGGAUGACACACAAAUCUGUGACACGUGCCAUAUAGUU